AAAAAGGGCAUGAAAAACAAUGUACAGAACUUACAAUGUGAAUAGCUAAAAGUUGUGCAACUGAAAAAUAAGAAGUGGGAGAAAUCUCUAAAUUUGGCAAAAUGUGUACAUACGGAAAUGUGCACAUUAGACAAGCAGUGUAAAUAAAUGUGCAUAUUAGGGGGAAGUGGUAAAAAGUAUAUUUAAAUGCAGGAAGAAAAAGUCCUGAUGAAAUACAAAAAUGUAAAGAAAAUACAGAGGUAGGGUGGGUUUCUCCUUACAAAAAUUGAUAAGAUGUGAGUCGCCAUAUGCAAUAUUUCUUAAACUUAAACAUGGAUGUUUCUGUCAGAGUUUUCCACCUUUUUUACUGUCUCUUGAGCCAGACAAAUGUAACUGCUUGUCCUCUCUUGACUUCAAACGCAUAUGAUGCAGACUCAGAAUCUCACUAGACUGACUGAAUUAGUACAAUUGUUGAAGGAGCAAGAUGCUUGAUCCAUUUAGUGGUCGGAUGAUUUAUUUUGCCAUCAGGAUCACUGGAUGCCUUUGUCUUCAAUGACCCCUUUCUCAUCAUAUAAAUAGACCUUUUGUCUACUGUAAGCAUCAGAUGGACCAUGUGAUGCUGUUGUCUAGUUUACUGCUCUUACAACCACCCAGAAAUAACAGCUUUCAGGAGUUCUGUCUCAGACAUGAAGGUGAAUAUAAAGUUUAACACAUACUCUCUCUAUAACACACACACACAGGAGAGAGAGAGAAAGAGAGAGAGAGAACAAUUUUUUGUAUUACAAAAGAUUUCUAUCUGGAAUUGUUUAUAAAGAGUACGUCUUUAGAAUCAUUUGCUCAUGGCCAGUCAUCCCUCUAAAAUGAAUGAAAGGAUAAGUCUAUCAACAGUGAUUCACCAUAACUGUACACACAAAGGCAGCAUACAGAUACCUCUAAAACCUGUCUGCUGAAGAAAAACAACAGGAGACAUCUAUCACCUUCAGGCCUUGCUAAUGAACACCAGAAAUUAUGAUCAGCCAACAGAGGAAAGAGAAAGCUGAAUGUAGCGACAGAGCUUUUUCCAUGUUCCUAUGACUGCAAAGCAAACCACUCAAGAUACAUUCUAGCGUGAGUUAUUCUCUUCUGAAUCACAUUGAUUUUUAUAGGAAAGUGAAGCAUAUGCUUAAACUGAGAGUAUGGAAAACUACUUUGUAAAAGGAAUUAAUCCACAAUAUUAAUUCUGGUGUUUGAUAAGCAACCUAUUGCUGUCACCUAUUGCUCUGCUGAAGAAAUAAUUUAUUUCACUACUUGUGCUACUCAUUCUUUUCUCGUACUCUCUGCUCUUCUUUUUGGAGGGCAAGGUAUUAUAUCUUGAUGUUUGUAUGGCAUACAAAUCGAAAAAUGCUUCUAAAAUGACUUAAAAGACCACAAUCCGGGGUCAAAUCAGAGGAGAGGUUUUCAUUCUUACUA
rnacentral:lncRNA from 1 species